GCAUAUCAAUAAGCGGAGGAAAAGAAACCAACAGGGAUUGCCUCAGUAACGGCGAAGUGAAGCGGCAACAGCUCAAAUUUGAAAUCUGGCCUCACGGUCCGAGUUGUAAUUUGUAGAGGAUGCUUUUGGCGAGGUGCUUUCCGAGUUCCCUGGAACGGGACGCCAUAGAGGGUGAGAGCCCCGUACGGUAAGACCACCGAGCCUCUGUAAAGCUCCUUCGACGAGUCGAGUAGUUUGGGAAUGCUGCUCUAAAUGGGAGGUGUACGUCUUCUAAAGCUAAAUACCGGCCAGAGACCGAUAGCGCACAAGUAGAGUGAUCGAAAGAUGAAAAGCACUUUGAAAAGAGGGUUAAAAAGUACGUGAAAUUGUUGAAAGGGAAGCAUUCAUGACCAGACUUGGGCUUGGUUGAACAUCCGGCGUUCUCGCCGGUGCACUCUGCCAGUCCAGGCCAGCAUCAGUUUGCCCCGGGGGACAAAGGCGGUGGGAAUGUGGCUCUCUUCGGGGAGUGUUAUAGCCCGCCGUGUAAUGCCCUGGGGCGGACUGAGGAACGCGCUUCGGCACGGAUGCUGGCGUAAUGGUCAUCAAUGACCCGUCUUGAAACACGGACCAAGGAGUCGUCUUCGUAUGCGAGUGUUCGGGUGUCAAACCCCCUACGCGUAAUGAAAGUGAACGUAGGUGAGAGCUUCGGCGCAUCACCGACCGAUCCUGAUGUUCUCGGAUGGAUUUGAGUAAGAGCAUACGGGGCCGGACCCGAAAGAAGGUGAACUAUGCCUGUAUAGGGUGAAGCCAGAGGAAACUCUGGUGGAGGCUCGCAGCGGUUCUGACGUGCAAAUCGAUCGUCAAAUAAUGGGCAUGGGGGGCGAAAGACUAAUCGAACCUUCUAGUAGCUGGGUUUCCGCCG
rnacentral:rRNA from 2 species